AGUCAAUGAGCCUAAAAGCCCAUCUUUAUCCAUUUUGUUCAUUCUGUCUUCUCCAAUAUGGCCAAGCCUGAGGUGCCACAAAUAUCUUUGGUUUAUCUCAUCUCUGGAUCUUUUGGAUCCUUUGGCACUCACAUCUUGCUCGGUAACAUUCACAGAUACAUCCAUAUAUAAACGAUAGAGACUGUCAAUCAUAAAACCACGUGCGACUAUUUUAUUUUUUAAAUAAAUAGAACAGCAGUCUUUGUCAAAUGUAAAAACAUGACCUUCCUGUGCUAGACAUGAAACAGAAAUC
rnacentral:lncRNA from 1 species